UGCGUAGGUGGCAAGCGUUGUCCGGAAUUACUGGGUGUAAAGCGCGUGUAGGCGGCAGACCAAGUCGGCGGUGAAAGCGCCCGGCUCAACUGGGCGAGGUCCGUGGAAACUGGUCAGCUGGAGGACGGUAGAGGCGAGUGGAAUUCCCGGUGUAGUGGUGAAAUGCGUAGAGAUCGGGAGGAACACCUGUGGCGAAGGCGGCUCGCUGGGCCGGUCCUGACGCUGAGACGCGAAGGCGUGGGGAGCGAACGGG
rnacentral:rRNA from 1 species